UACGUAGGGGUCGAGCGUUGUCCGGAGUUACUGGGCGUAAAGCGUGUGCAGGCGGCUUAUUGCGCCCGGCGUGAAAGCCCCCGGCUCAACCGGGGAGAGUCGUCGGGGACGGGUGAGCUUGAGGGUAUCAGGGGCUGGUGGAAUUCCCGGUGUAGUGGUGAAAUGCGUAGAUAUCGGGAGGAACACCCGUGGCGAAGGCGGCCAGCUGGGAUACACCUGACGCUGAGACACGAAGGCGUGGGGAGCGAACGGG
rnacentral:rRNA from 1 species